rnacentral:lncRNA from 1 species
CUGCAGGCCUGGCUGUGAACCCGGCACAGGGAGCCAUCACCGCCAACAGCCCAGGCCGCUCACCGCCCUGGUGAGCCCAGACAGGGCCGGCACCUCAGAACACAGACACAGAGCAGGCCCUCUGGAGGGCCACCAAGAUGACUAGAGAGGAUGCAAAGGUGACAAGAGAAUGCCUUCCAUUAAAUGUCAGCCUUGACUGAAUCUGAUGGAGAACAGCAAGUGAACAACCUGAUUUUGAGAAGUCUUUUAGGAUACAAUUCAACUUCGGAAAGGACAUGGUAAUGAGAGCUGACAAGUGGGAAUUCUCUGAUUCAAAAACAUCUAAAAAUUCUCUGGAUAGGUAAGAAAAAAUUCUAGUAAUCUGCAAACACCACAGAUGGCCAUGUAGAUGGGUUGAAAAAUGAGAUUUCUUUCUGCCAGUAACAAAUAUUCACGGCUUUGCUAAAGAGGCAAUUUAAAAGAAGGUUGAAACAAAUCCAGAGGUGGAAAAAUGUAUAAAGUACAGACCUCAGAAGCCUUUAUGAAUACUUAAUUUCAGAAGGAUAUGAAUAAAGAAUAUCC